AAGCCCCACCCUCACCUUUUUAUCCCAGAGCCCAGCGCUCUUGUCCAGGUAUGUUCCUAGUUUUGUCUCUGGAACAAGCACCUGAAUGCAGAGUUCCACAAAAGGAGGACUCUCUCUGCUGUUUCCUAAUUUGCAACCCAGCGCUGGAACUGUGCCCGCGGAUGCUGAACCGAGUGGCCCAGCUCUCUCCAGCCAGAGCUCCGUGGUGACAGGAAGUCAAACCCCGGUCUGAGGCUGGGGAUUGGCCCCUGAGGAGGAGGAGCCCAUCAGGUCACGCCCACCACUCCGUCCUGGUCUGUCCUGGUUUGUCGGGCCCAGGUGCCCCUCAUCUGGGGAGAAUCCCCACCUCCUUCAGGCAGCUUCCUCUCGAAGGGCUCAGACGGUCAGGGAAUUCUGAGCCUUUGCCCUGGCCAGGCCAGGCGGAGCUGCGGGCUCCGGCUCGGAGAGUGAGACCCUCCGGGGACCCUCCAGGCAGCCGAACCGCAGCGGGCAUCGCCGGCGUCCCCGCUGCUUCGAGGACCUGGCGCUGGAGGAGAGAGUCGGCCCCUCCAGCUCCAGCAGGAGGUCUGGCCCCUAGAGACAUGUGAGAUUUCAACUCCUGGACCAUAUAAAAACCAUCCCUGAGAAAGCAGUAACCCACAUAAGGCCACCACAUCACAGGACCCCUGGAAUAGGGUGACAUGUGUCCUGGUCCAAACACCUCUGCUCCCUGGGGCCUGCCUGCAGCUGGCGGUACAAAGGGGCCAUAGGUGUAAAGGCCCCAGAGAGAAACGGGGGAAGGUGGAAUGUAUUGAUUGCUUUCACCCAGGAUCAUUUGCCAGGGAGGAGCCCUCUGGUGUCCUAGAGACCCCCAAGGUGCCCGGCAAAGAGGCCAAAAGCAGACACCCAAUGAGGAGGACUCGGCUUGCUUUACACGGGAGAAGGUCCAAGGUGCCCAAGAGGGUCGCACGGAGCCUCCAAGAGGCUGCGGGGCGGGGGCUGCUGUAGGAGUUUGCCAUCAGAAGGCCCCCACCUACACCACCACUCAUGGUGGGCAUGUGGAACACAUUUCACACAGGGAAUUUCUGCAUCCUUGUUAAGCCUCAUUUGUAUCACAUGAUGGACAGUUGAAACUGGCUCGUGACCAUCUCAUGGACGGAGGGACCCUGCACAUCAGCUGGUGCCUCAUGGCCCACCCAGGACCACGGCCUCAGAUGCUCGGGGCAUGACCCGCUCCCCUCUCCUGGCCUUGUUUGUUGAAACCUGCAGGAUCCUAUGCGCUAAUUCCCAAGGAAUGAAACAGCCGGAGGGACCCUAGAAUGCCGGACUCUCAUUCCAGCGGAUUAAUGGCUCUCCCAAUCCGAUUGGACAAGUUUCAGAAGCUGCUUCCCUCCCACUUGACUCCCCUCCUGGUCUUUGGUUCCUCCUGCCUCCCAGGCAGGAGUCCUGGGUUGGAAUAAGGGAAACUGCUGAAUGCAGACUUGCGGGCCACGUAGAACACAAGCAAAGAGCGGGAAAGCACGAAUGCAGUCUUCCACUGCCACAAACUAUGCAGUCGAGUUUCCCACAUUUGGGGAAAUUGCAGAGGUCAACACAUCCGGAGUGCAAUGGCUGAGCCUCACCCUGGGAAAACCACCUUCGUGAUCAUGGUCUCUCCCCUGCCAGUUAAGGAUAUAAGUGGUAACUUUUGAAGAUUUUUAUUUUCUAUUUGCUUGUUGCUGCUAUAUCUAUAUUAAAAAAAAUUGUGUGUUAAUCUUGUAUCCAACAAUCUGGCCACAUUUAAGUGUUAAUUCUAAUCGAUGAUUGGUAAACUCUUUUGGAUUUUCUACAUUAUGUUGUGUCUGAAUAAUGAGAACUUACUUUCUCCUUUCCCAAGGCUUAUGCCUUUAAUUUCUUUCUCCUGCUGUUUCACGCUGGCUGUGUUAAAUGGAUGGGGUGAGAAAGGAUGUCACAGCUUUAGCUAUUUCUUCCCCCUUCCCCCCAUUAAAAAGCUUAUGAAGGAUUCUGGGAAGAGUGCAGUAGUAACAUAGUUUUUGGAUAUUCCAAGAGCCCCGCUUAAAUACAGGUAGUACAACCAGAUAGAAAAAGAAAAAUUCCCGAGAAUGUACGGUGGAGUUUCCCAGAGGCCACGUGACACGCCACAGCCCAACAGAUUAAAUGUACAAGCAGAUGUAAGAAUCCAACUGUCUUCUUCUUCUUUUUUUUAAUUAAAG